UACGUAGGGUCCGAGCGUUGUCCGGAAUUAUUGGGCGUAAAGAGCUCGUAGGCGGUUUGUCGCGUCUGCCGUGAAAGUCCGGGGCUCAACUCCGGAUCUGCGGUGGGUACGGGCAGACUAGAGUGAUGUAGGGGAGACUGGAAUUCCUGGUGUAGCGGUGAAAUACGUAGAUAUCUGGAGGAACACCGGUGGCGAAGGCGGCGAUCUGGCCCAACAUUGACACUGAGACCCGAAGCGUGGGGAUCAAACAGG
rnacentral:rRNA from 1 species